UCUCCCUCCACAGUCAACACGGCAAAAAUAGAGAGUUUACAGAGCAAGCUCUCUCCUCUCUCCUGACUGGUUCACUCGCCUCAUCUAACUAACGCAUCCUUGGGGAAACACACUUUUAAGCACACACACACACACACACACGUUGAAGCUCCGCUCAGCAGCAGCAGGGAGUGAACAGCCAGCUCUCGGUUUAUCCCCGCCAUUCCCCGGUACAGUAACUUCCUCAGCAUCUCCCGGCCUCUGCAGAGAGAGAGAGAGAGAGAGAGAGAGAGAGAGAGAGACCACCGCCCGACAACCCAACUGGAAACCGGCCCCGCCGCUCUAUAGUAACGGACUGACCGACCGAAUAUAAACCCGGAGAAGGGAAGAGGUCUAUCUAGUGCUCAACAUCCCGUUAUCGCCGGUAGAAUAUACUUCAGACUGCGGAUUUAAGCCGUCACAUUGGCCAGUUGUCCAUUUGGACGGAGAGAGAGAGAGAGAACCGGUAGUGCGCAGUGUGAGAACACAACAGAAACCACUUGACGCCGAAAAAGUCCCGGGCACUUUCCCCCCGGUAUUUUAGGAAACAGAAGGGACGCGUCUCACUUUACCGAAAUACCGACGCCGGUUAGCCUAAAACGGAGCCGGUGUGAGCAACAGCUACCACCGGAAGAAAAAAGAAAAAAAAAUCAGUGAGCUUACAGAUAGCAGACUGGAGAGAGACAGAGACAGAGACAGGGGGUAAAGACAAAAGGGUGCAGUUUAAGUUCAAACCUGUUUGACGUCUUACAUCAACGAACUAACAGUGUUGCUGGACCGAUCUGCAGCCGCUGGACUCACCCUCAAAGAUCAGGUUGCCAGGGUAACCUCCCCCAGCCAAUCAGCAGUCAUGGAUGAGAUGGAUCUACCCCAGAUGAAGAAGGAAGUGGAGAGCCUGAAAUACCAACUGGCCUUCAAGAGAGAGAAGUCUUCCAAGACAGUCACUGACAUGGUGAAGUGGAUCGAGGACGGCGUACCCGAGGACCCCUUCCUGAACCCUGAACUCAUGAAGAACAACCCCUGGGUGGAAAAGGGAAAGUGUGUCCUGUUGUAGACUGAUUACCGACCCCUGACCCUGCCGUGACCUCUGACCCCAGCCUGAUGGGGCAUGGCAGGACAGCACCCCCCCCCUGCUAGUUUCAGCCACGUUGAUGCAUCACAGAUUACCUUUAAUUCUAUGUUGAUAUGAUAUGAAGUGUAUUUAUGCAGCCAGUCACUCACUCACUCAGUCAGCCAGUCACUCACUCACUCAGUCAGCCAGUCACUCACUCAGUCACUCACUCACUCACUCACUCAGUCAGCCAGUCACUCACUCAGUCACUCACUCAGUCAUCCAGUCACUCACUCAGUCAGCCAGUCAGCCAGUCACUCAGUCAUCCAGUCACUCACUCACUCAGCCAGUCAGUUAUUCAGCCAGCCAGUCAGUUAGUCAGUCAGCCAGUCAGUCAGUCAGCCAGUCAGUUAGUCAGCCAGUCAGUCAGCCAGCCAGCUAGUCAGCCAGCCAGUCAGUCAGCCAGUCAGCCAGCCAGUCAGUCAGCCAGUCAGCCAGUCAGCCAGUCAGUCAGUCAGUCAGCCAGUCAGUCAGCCAGUCAGUCAGCCAGCCAGUCAGUCAGCCAGUCAGUCAGCCAGUCAGUCAGUCAGCCAGUCAGUCAGUCAGCCAGUCAGUCAGCCAGUCAGUCAGUCAGCCAGUCAGUCAGCCAGUCAGUCAGCCAGUCAGUCAGCCAGCCAGUCAGCGCAACACGGACGGGAACGGACACGGAAACACACACACACAGCACACACACACACACACACACACACACACACACACACACACACACACACACACACACACACACACACACACACACACACACACUGUACAGACGAGCCCCUUUAACUUGUUAUUAAAUUAUUGAUUGUGUUUUUUUUGUUUUAUUUAUGUAUUUAUUGAUAAGCUCCUCCGCACGGCGGCCAUGUUGUGUUGUCUAUCGCCCCACGCUCCCAACAACAACAACUGUACUGGCCAGGGAUAUACCAUACACCAUCGCUCUGGCCCCAACGUACGUGUGUGUGUGUGUGUGUGUGUGUGUGUGUGUGUGUGUGUGUGUGUGUUGCUUAAUUUGAUCCCGUCACCUCUCCGUUUUGAACCGUUUUGUUUCCGGAAUCUAUUUGAUUGGAUCCAGAACCUCUCGUGACAUGAAAAAUAAUUUCCACUUCUUUGCAAUAAAAAAAUAAUAAUAAUAAUUAAAAGUUGUCUCUUCAUUACCUCUCCUGCCCCUAAAGAAAACCGUAAUGUGAAAAAGCUGAUUUUCAGUCCGCGGUUUAAUAUUCUCCGAGUUGAUUUGGGUUGAGACCGGACCAGGUUCUUACGUAACAUUUUAUAAUCUAUAUUUGAGACCGACGCGCGACGGUAAGUUAGAAGUGUAGAAAUGCGUCAUACUAGAACUAGAUUCUCUUCUCUAUGAAUCUAUGCUGUAAGCUGCCCCCCCCCCCCCCCCCCAAAAAAAAUUAUUGAAUCAACUUCUAAAUAUUGUUCUACAAAACAAAACAAAAAAUAGAGAGUCAGAGAUGGAGAUAAGGCUUAUGGAAGGAGCGCGGUCGUCGACAAUCACCAGCGAGUCACUUGUGUUUCAGUGAAACUGGAAAGCAUUUUGUGUUUUUGGUGGCGAUAAUUUCCUCGUAUUGUAGCCUAUAAUAUGUGUCUCCACACACCGAGGCC
rnacentral:lncRNA from 1 species